rnacentral:lncRNA from 1 species
AACUUUCAUUUUCAAGGUUAUCACCCUUCAGUGAAGAUAAACACUACUAAAAGCUUGUCAGCUCUUUUUGAGACAGGAAAAAGGAUUUGUUUCUCUGCCUGUCUCGAGGAGAUAGAUGUGGACAUCAGUGUCCUUCUACAAAGCAGUCGAUGAGCCUAAACAAGAUGAAGUGGCAGCAUGUUGAUGGAGUAUAUUCAGAGGUGACAAGCAGCCUUGCAGACAGCGAUGUUUUCUUCAUUAUUUUGCAGACAAGACUUCAGAACUUCAGAGAGCUCUUACAAUAGGAAAAAGAAGAAGAAGAAGAAGAAAAAAAAAACAUGACCUGACAAGGUUAGAAGUUAGGAAUGCAUUGUGCCUUGAAAAGGACCAGCCAACAGAUGAGGACACGGUUUACUUCUGCCUGAAGGACACUUUCUCAAAAAAAAAAAAUCUAAACAUUUAGAACCUUCAGUCUUUACACAUUUGUAGAUUAGAAUAAGGAUUCUUUUAUAAGAAAUGUUAAAAUUCCCUUGGCAGAGGGUGAACUGGACAGGUUUUUUGAACAUUAGAGAUGGUUAUGUGAAGAUUUAAAAAAUAUCAUCUCACUUAAUCGCCUCUCUUAAGAAAAUAGGAAGCUAAAAAAUUAAAAAGAAAAUAGGAAACUGAGACGGAGAAUUAAUUAACCAACUUGAGUAACAGGGAUAGAGUAUAGUCAAAACCAAGACUAGCACUUUUACUCCUGGUCUUGUAAAUUUUAUUCUUUAUUCUAUACUGAAUAUAUGCUAUCUCAUGCAAAAUUUCAGAGUUUGAGUGCGUGUGACUGCUAAUAGACAGGCUGUUAGGCUACCACACAGUGGCUGCCAUUUCCCCCUUGUGUUCAGGCUUCCUGUGCAGCAUGAUACUAAGCUGAGGUCUUCUCCCUUAACGAUUUCCUGCCAUUUCCUCUAUGUAAGGCACUGGAGCCUUCAAGUUGCCAGUUGUAUUCUGUGGAGAGGUAUGGGAAACCACCUCCACCCUCUCUUCUUUUAGUCCCCCCUCCUCAUAUUUUCUAUUGGUAUAUGAUUGUUGUACAAAAUGAGAUGGUAUUUGUUGUUACAUAUUUGUACAUGCACACAAUAAAACAAUAUAAUUUGGUUACUAUUAUUCUCCAGUACUCCCCCUUCCUCCCCACCUCCCUCACCCUGCUCCCUUUCUUUUAUUGAUCUCCUUAUGAUUUUCUUGAGC